GACGAACGCUGGCGGCGUGCUUAACACAUGCAAGUCGAACGAAGUGGCGAACGGGUGAGUAAUACGUGGGUAACCUUCCCUCCUUUUUGGGAUAAGCCUUGGAAACGGGGUCUAAUACCGAAUAAAGGGGGAUGGGCUCGCGGCCUAUCAGCUUGUUGGUGGGGUGAUGGCCUACCAAGGCGGUGACGGGUAGCCGGCCUGAGAGGGGGACCGGCCACAUUGGGACUGGGAUACGGCCCAGACUCCUACGGGAGGCAGCAGUGGGGGAUAUUGCACAAUGGGCGAAAGCCUGAUGCAGAGACGCCGCGUAGGGGAUGAAGGCUUUCGGGUUGUAAACCUCUUUCGAAAUCGAACGGGUAGGUGAAGAAGAAGCGCCGGAUAACUGCGUGCCUGCAGCCGAGGUAUAC
rnacentral:rRNA from 1 species